AAAGCUGACAGUCGACACAUGUUUCAUACCGUCACAGAGAGCACAAAGAGCCAUGAGGUCCAGUCUGCUCACAGUCCUGAUCUUCACCCUGGUUACAGGUACGUUAAACAGGACAGCGAAACCUUUCCUUGGAGAGUUCGUAUAACUUGGCAGACAAUACAAAGGGUUAAAUCACUUAACUACAAAUUGGGGAGAAUUUACAUGGGAUUUGCAAAUUGUGGACUAAAAGACCUAGGGGAUUCUUCGUUCAGUGGCGGAUCCAAGGGGAGUAUCAGGGCAGAUGACAAACACCCCCAAAUUUGCGAGUGUCGCCACUUGUUAAGCCUGCAACACAUUCAGGACAAAGGAGGUAUUUAAUUGGUUUUGUUAGGCAGGACAGAAGGGUCACUAGAGAAGAGGGGAUGGGGUACUGUGAGGUUGUGGUAGGUUUAAAAUGAUAUGACCAUAUGUGGAACUAAAUCCACACAUUUGUUUGCUAAGAUAAGUGAUUUUCAGUAGCCUUGUAAAAUGAAAAACUGCAUUUUUUCUGUGCUGGUCCUUACUCUGUAUUUGGCAUCAGUGUGUCACAAUUAAAUUUCCUUUUUUACCCUUUAUGCUUAUAUGUAAUUUGUUAUCGCUGUUUUUAUUCUUGUUUACAUCAACAGUUUUAAUUAAGACGUAGAUACAGUUGAAAGAGCAUCUCUUUGACGUAUACCGCAAAAAUAUCCUUUUUUUUUUAUUAAAGAAGCCAGUGUUACUUAAUUUAGAUGCACUUGAAACAAGGAUUUGUGUUUUGCAAAAUUCUCAAGCUUUCUACAAUAUUUAUUUUUUAUGAAUGGAUACAUUUAUAAAAUAUUGCUUGCUGUACUUUCAGAAUUAUUCCUUAAGGAGAGGAAAGUGAAUUUCUAAAUUUAGUUCAAUAUAUAUGUGUGUGUGUGUGUGUGUGUGUGUGUGUGUCCGAAUUUUUAUUGUAACAGUACAGAAUCAGUUGAAACAAAACGUAGAAAUACACAUAUUUUUCAUUGAACAGGGAUGGUAUUAGCUGCACCAAAGAAACGAACUGCAAAGCAGGUAAGUAAUUACCAAAUACAUAUUAUGUUAAUGUAUCUUUUAGUAGCGCACUUUCAUUUAAGGGUUAAGGGGUUACUCCAUGCUCCAUGACCAUGUUAGUGAUUUGAAGUGGUUAUGGUGCCUGGAGCCUGUAUGCGUAUGAUUUCACUAUGAAACACUGAGAAGCAGUUGUAGAGUUUAGAUGAUAGAUGUAUUGUGGAGGCAAUAUACAAUUCUUUUAAAAAUAUUAGUAUUUUUUAAGCAUCAGAAAGUGAAGUUAUUUUACCUUAUCCUGUGAUUUAGAAAGCCUUGGGUUGGUACAUUUUUUGUAGAUCAAGGGGACUCAACUGGUUUCACUCUAAUGAUAGAUCCUACUUACCUGAGCUAGUGGAAGAUGUCAUCGAUCAGACAGUCCUCUGUCUGUCUGUCUAUCUAUCUCUAUCUUUAAACCUACAUGACAUCAUUAAUCCGCUCUGUCUUUGUUCAGCCUCUGUGUUCCAGAUAUUUAGACGCACAGUGCGAGCCAGAUUACGUCCCAGUAUGCGGAACGGACGGAAACACAUAUGGAAAUGAAUGCGAGUUGUGCUGGGAAAAUAAGUAAGGGAAUGUGCUACUUAAUCUAUCUAAAAAUAAUAGAUAUAAAAAAUUUCUUUAUUUUCAUUAUAGAAAAAUUUCCAAAUUCAAAACUCUCUAUUUAUUUUCUCCCGUCUAGAAAAUAAAACCGAAUUAAAUUCCAUUAUUUCGUUCUGUUUGUAAACAUUCGUGAUACGUAAUCAUUUUUGCCUAUAAUUAUUUGGAUAUCACGCUCUAUGCAAGUACUUCCACAUAUAGAUUAUCAAACAAGCUCAUUAAUAAUGUACAAGCCUGAAAGGUCCUUCAGAAAUUAUAUGGUGAAAAAAAGGCCUCUGCAUUUUGAUAUCAAUUUGCAAAUGUGACAGAAGAAAAGAGACAAUAUAGAAACAAUACAAUGCAAAAACUAAAACAAAAACUAAAUUAAAGACCCGCUUUACAAUACUUGUAAUAAAACACACAGAUUCGGCUGAUUUGGGUCUUACUAUGUAGUGGGUAUACAUUCCACAUGUGAACUUGUACUAAUUAAUAUGAUUAAGUUGAGAAUUUUCACUGGUUUGAUGUUGGCAAUUAGACAUGUGCAAUUUGGUUCGGUCCAAAUUGUAAUUCGGACAAAUUUCGGACAUUCGGAUACCUCAGAAUGGCCGAAGUGCCAAAUUUUGAAAUUCCGAACCAAAUUGCCGAAGUCCCGAAUUGCCAAAGUGCAGAAUUUCGGAAUGCCAAAGCGAACCGAAUUUUUUGGCCGUGUACAUCCUUAUUGGCAAUUUAAACAUCCCAGAUAAACGAACAAAGGGGCAGUUCUGUAUUAUUUACAUUUGGGUCUGAGUAGUGGAUUUGGCAUCCAUAGUAAAUAAACUCUUUGUUUGUCUCUGCCAAUCCAAAUUGAAGCACCAAUAUUUUUAGAAAUCAUAAUAUGCAGGUUAAUAUCAAACACAUUUAUGAUUAAAGGGAAAGUGUCACUUUAAUUUUAAUAGGAUGUUUACUUACCUCUAAAAUAUCACAAAUAUAUAUUAGUGAAGUAUGACUAAUGUUUAUGUUUUUACUAAAAUAUAAUGUUUUUGGGGGUUUUUUUAGCCACAGAUUUGAGAAAGUCCUAAUAAAGAAAAACGGACACUGCUGAUCACCAACUGAAGACAAAUGGAUCACGAUGCUCGUCCCGUGUCUAAAAAAAAAUAAAUAAUCCUUUUAAUUCUAUUCACUGUUUUAAAAGCUGUUUGACAUGAAAAAACAUUAUUGGGAUUUUAAGCAAAGUAGGUUAUUUUUUUUUUCAUAGAGAAAAAUAGAGAGGUUUAUUUAUUAAAAAAAGAGCAAUUCACACACCGAAUGCACUUCAUUUUACAUAUUUGUGACAGUUUAUAUUUCAUUAGAAAUUGUCAGUCUUAUAACUGGGGCAGAAACACCUCCCUGGCUGUUACUCAGAGCCAAUAGAAGUGGGAGAUAAACUGCCUCCCCCCUUUCACUCUGUGCCAGGGAAUACGUACUGAGAAAGUCUGUGUCUAGGAAAGAGGGGAUGAAUUCCAAAGACUGCAGACAACAGGUAUGCAGCUUUUUUUUUAUUUAUUUAUUUUUUUUUAUAUACCCCCAAAUAACAUGGUAAGCUGCUUUUCAUAUACCCCUAAUUAUAACAUGCAGAUACAAAUAUAAGCAUGUUUGCUUUAUGGGUAUAACUACCAAAUUUAAAAAAAAAAGCACUGAUAUGAUUGCAGCAAUCAAGCAAAAAUAUCAGGGUUAUUCACCAAAGUGUCAAUCCAAAGUUGAGAAUGCAAAGUGAAAUACAUUUUUUUGCCAAAAUGGUUGAAUUGCAAAAGUCAUUUAUACUUUCAGUUUGGUAAUAUUGGCCCAGAAUUUUAGAUUCACUUUGAAUUCUCAAUAAUCUGCAUUUUAGUGUGGCUGUAAUUGUGAUGAAGCUUUUUUUUCUAUGUCGGCUAUUUUAACAUACAUUUUGCAUAAUUUAAUUUAAUUUGGAGUUGAGUUGAUGUUCUGAAUACUAUAUAAAGGUUUUUUGUUUUUUUUUUGUGCUCACCUAUUAAACAAUAAAUUGUGGUACAAUGACAUGGAAGUUGUGAGACAGAUAUAUUCGUAAAAUAACAAAUUGGAAAUCCUUGUCGCAGAUUGUGCUAUUUGUUUGUCAGUUUGUUAAGGAAAUAUCCCCAUUUAUUAUAACCUACCCAGUCCCCAGUGUUCCAGAACUAAAGGCCACAAUUAACUUAUAAAUAUUUGAAAUGAUUAGGUAUUUAUUUAAAAACUGAUAACGACUACAACAUAUAAAGACAUAGUAAAUAAGACAAAAUUGUAGCCACCCCAUGUAAAAAAAAUAAAAUACAUAUUUUGUUCAAUAAACAAUGAAAAAUA
rnacentral:lncRNA from 1 species